rnacentral:misc_RNA from 1 species
GAUGAAGAACGUAGCGAAAUGCGAUACGUAAUGUGAAUUGCAAAUUCAGUGAAUCAUCGAGUCUUUGAACGCACAUUGCGCCCCCUGGUAUUCCGGGGGGCAUGCCUGUCCGAGCGUCAUUGCUGCCCUCAAGCACGGCUUGUGUGUUGGGCCCCGUCCUCCGAUCCCGGGGGACGGGCCCGAAAGGCAGCGGCGGCACCGCGUCCGGUCCUCGAGCGUAUGGGGCUUUGUCACCCGCUCUGUAGGCCCGGCCGGCGCUUGCCGAUCAACCCAAAUUUUUAUCCAUGUUGACCUCGGAUCAGGUAGGGAUACCCGCUGAACUUAAGCAUAUCAAUAAGCGGAGGA